rnacentral:rRNA from 1 species
AUUGAACGCUGGCGGCAGGCUUAACACAUGCAAGUCGAGCGAGCGGCGGACGGGUGAGUAAUGUCUGGGAAACUGCCUGAUGGAAGGGGAUAACUACUGGAAAAGGUAGCUAAUACCGCAUACCCUCAGAUGUGCCCAGAUGUGAUUAGCUAGUAGGUGGGGUAAUGGCUCACCUAGGAGACGAUCCCUCGCUGGUCUGAGAGGAGGACCAGCCACACGGGAAGUGAGACACGGUCCAGACUCCGACGGGAGGCAGCAGUGGGGAAUAUGGCACAAUGGGCGCAAGCCUGAUGCAGCCAUGCCGCGUGUGUGAAGAAGGCCGUCGGGUUGGAAAGCACUUUCAGCGAGGAGGCGUUACGCGCAGAAGAAGCACCGGCUAACUCCGUGCCAGCAGCCGCGGUAAUUC